AGUUUGAUCAUGGCUCAGGAUGAACGCUAGCGACAGGCUUAACACAUGCAAGUCGAGGGGCAUCACGGGAGUAGCAAUACAACUGGUGGCGACCGGCGCACGGGUGAGUAACGCGUAUGCAACCUACCUAUCAGAGGGGAAUAACCCGGCGAAAGUCGGACUAAUACCGCAUAAAACAGGGGCACCGCAUGGUGAUAUUUGUUAAAGAAAUUCGCUGAUAGAUGGGCAUGCGUUCCAUUAGGUAGUUGGUGAGGUAACGGCUCACCAAGCCGACGAUGGAUAGGGGAACUGAGAGGUUGGUCCCCCACACUGGUACUGAGACACGGACCAGACUCCUACGGGAGGCAGCAGUGAGGAAUAUUGGUCAAUGGGCGGGAGCCUGAACCAGCCAAGUCGCGUGAAGGAAAGAAGGAUCUAUGGUUCGUAAACUUCUUUUGCAGGGGAAUAAAGUGCAGGACGUGUCCUGUUUUGUAUGUACCCUGAGAAUAAGGAUCGGCUAACUCCGUGCCAGCAGCAGC
rnacentral:rRNA from 1 species